GCGCGAAACCUCCGCAAUGUGAGAAAUCGCGACGGGGGGACCCCAAGUGCCAUUCUUAACGGGAUGGCUUUUCUUAAGUGUAAAAAGCUUUUGGAAUAAGAGCUGGGCAAGACCGGUGCCAGCCGCCGCGGUAACACCGGCAGCUCUAGUGGUAGCCAUUUUUAUUGGGCCUAAAGCGUUCGUAGCCGGUUUAAUAAGUCUCUGGUGAAGUCCCGUAGCUUAACUAUGGGAAUUGCUGGAGAUACUAUUAGACUUGAGGUCGGGAGAGGUUAGAGGUACUCCCAGGGUAGGGGUGAAAUCCUGUAAUCCUGGGAGGACCACCUGUGGCGAAGGCGUCUAACUGGAACGAACCUGACGGUGAGGGACGAAAGCUAGGGGCGCGAACCGGAUUAGAUACCCGGGUAGUCCUAGCCGUAAACGAUGCGGACUUGGUGUUAGGAUGGCUUUGAGCCGCCCUAGUGCCGAAGGGAGCUGUUAAGUCCGCCGCCUGGGAAGUACGGUCGCAAGACUGAACUUAAAGGAAUUGGGCGGGGAGCACCACAACGCGUGGA
rnacentral:rRNA from 1 species